rnacentral:rRNA from 1 species
GGUUAAAAAGCUCGUAGUUGGAUCUCGGCAAGUAGAGGGCGGUAUGCUUCGUAGCAUUACUGCCCUAUUACUUGUAGUUUUGCCAGAGGUUCCUGGGUGCUCUUAAUCGAGUGUCUAGGGAUGCUGGCAGGUUUACUUUGAAAAAAUUAGAGUGCUCAAAGCAGGCUAUUACGCUUGAAUAUUCGUGCAUGGAAUAAUAGAAUAGGAAGUCGUUUCUAUUUUGUUGGUUCUCGGAAAUCGACUUAAUGAUUAAUAGGGACAGUCGGGGGCAUUUGUAUCCAAACGACAGAGGUGAAAUUCUUGGACCGUUUGAAGACAAACUACUGCGAAAGCAUUUGCCAAGAAUGUUUUCAUUAAUCAAGAACGAAAGUUAGAGGUUCGAAGGCGAUUAGAUACCGCCCUAGUUCUAACCAUAAACGAUGCCAGCUAGCGAUCUGAGGACGUUUUUUUUGUAGACUCCUCAGGAAGCUUCCGGGAAACCAAAGCGUGUGGGUUCCGGGGGAAGUAUGGUUGCAAAGCUGAAACUUAAAGGAAUUGACGGAAGGGCACCACCAGGAGUGGAGCCUGCGGCUUAAUUUGACUCAACACGGGAAAUCUCACCAGGCCCGGACACUGGAAGGAUUGACAGAUGAGAGCUCUUUCUCGAUUCGGUGGGUGGUGGUGCAU